UCAACCUUUCCUUCACAAGUCAUUUUCAGUCAUGGCUUUUAACCACAGGGAUGGUGACUUUAACUAAGAGAAGUGACUACAAACUCGACAAGCAGCUCCUGAUUCUACCACUCUGUGCCAGGAACAGCCGUGGGUGCCACGGGUGUGGAAGUGUCCUACAAAUGGCAACCUGCCCUAGUGAAACUAGGAGUCCACUUUCUGCAACUGGAAGGAAAGACGGAUGUUACUCAGAUAAUUCCACAAAUAUACAAACCAUAGUUAUGGAAGCUUCAUAAAGGAAAGUUGCAGCCAGGCAAUGGUGCAGGCCUGAGUCAUCCUAGAGACUUGGAAUGUUACCACAGGACUUCAGACCCACCUCAGCAACCUGGCUCCCUUACAGCCAGAGUGUCGAGAAGAUGGUCCUUAUGUGAGAACAGCACAUGAACAAGAGGAGAAGCCUCGUCCUGGUCCACAUACCCACUUCUCUCUCUAAGUCCGACUGUUGUUUCCUACUGGCUUCAAGGCCCUUGGCUUCACACCUUGUCAGAAUCCCACCAACCACCGAGUGGUCAAAGAGGCCUCACCUAAAAGGCAAGUCUGUCCAGACACAAGCUAGAAUCCUCUCCCAUUAAGUGCGUGUCCAUGCAGCUCCAGGCUGACCUCCGGUUGUACUCAUCAUCCCUGGGGACCAGGAAACAUGCAGCUUCCAAGGCUUCCUCCAGCCUUGCAGACAGGAACACAAUGCAGAAGGCCUGGAAAUCUCUGCAUUUAGCACUUUUUUCCCUUUUAAACUAGACAGAAAAACAUUCUUACCACUAACAUGGACUGUCCAGUGCUUACCUCUGUGUGCUUUUGUCUGCAAGUUUCGAAGUGGAGAAGAUUUUAAUUGAACUAUCCUGGCACAGAGAAAAGCCCCGCUGUGUCUCUGUGGAGUCUGCAGUCCAGCUCCUUCCCUCUUCUCUACACUGCGUGAUAUUCUUCCUUUGAGGAAAGCAAAAUGGAGCUGGUCACCUGCUCGCACCAUUCUAACAGACUGUGAAACACGCUUUGUGGAGGAGCUGUAUGAAUUGUGGGCAGAGCUAAAGAUACGACUGUGGCAUUUUAACAUACAGGCUCGGCCAUGCCUGGGAUCUCAUUGAAGAUGCUGUUAUGAGAAUUCUUUACAUGAAAAGACUAUGAGCCCAUCAAUGGUAUGUUAAAGGAAAACGAACACAGGGAGGGGGUGAGAACCAAAUCAAAGGGCUGUUCUGCUGAGAUCUGCCUUUUCAUACGUUCCAACUUAAUGAUAGAGUUUUGUCCAACUCCGCUCUGUAACUGCCUUGGAAAUGCUUGCUUUUCUAGCCAAAUACUAAGAUCUUGUAACAUUUUCACCCAAACUCCAACGCACGUGCUCUUCUUGUCCUUUCUGAGAAAAGAUGGGAAUAAGGCUUGGAAAAACGAUGGUCCAUUUCCUCUGCUACCGCUAAACACUUGGGGCUGGUACUCCAGAAUGGAAGUCGGUUUACUUAGCUUACAGUUUCCACAACUGUGUUGUGAUGUGGGAUGGACAGCAUCUGCCCUUACGAAUGAGACCUUGUGUUCCCAUGGAGACAAACAGUUUAGGGGCAGAGGGUUCUCUCGGGAGACAAGGCCCUGCUGCCUCAGUUUUACCAGUGUGGUUAGCUGUGGGAGGAAUCACUGGCCACAGAUGCACAGAGGCGCACUCAGGAUUUAUCGGCUGCCUUUGUGGGGAGCCUUAGCCAUCUGUUUUCCUGAGCCUUUGUUUUUCCGUGUCUCCCCAGACAUUCUCCAUACGCCUGUGAGAAGCAGAAGUGGAGCAGAAAGGGUCUGGGAAUGCAGACAUGGGUCCUGGGUUCCCGGGGCAAGGGCAUGAGGCAGGGGAAUUGUUUUCUUCCAAGGAGCCCUGUCCUGGGCAGAAAGAAGUCAUCACUAAGCUCCUGCUCUGGGUGAUGUUUCCCCUGACAGCGCUGCUCUCCUCACCUGUCUAAACUAAGUAAAGAGGAUCCAAUAUCCACCGCGUGCUGAUCUUUUCAGCAGAUACUCAAAGGAUAAAGCCGGAGUAAUUUAUUAUUCUUCUUUUAAUCCCACAGAGUGCACUGAGAACUUUCAAACAGUAAGACAUUCUUCUGAGAAAAGAGCCCCUCUUAUCAGCUUGGCCCUGUCCAAAAUAACGAUGACUUCACGCUGGCCGGGGCAUCAGGAUGUAUUUGUCCCCCGUCAAUAACGAAUGCUUGGGAUUGCAUUUCACUUCUGCAGAGGGCAAACCUGGAAGCAUGAUAAGCUGCCCUUCUUAAAAGUGCCCCCACAACAGCCCACCUCCCUGUUUAAUUAUGCUCUACCUCUCUCUGAAGAGGAGACAGCCCAACCUCCCUCCACUUCUCUUGGCCCAGCAUUCAGGAGAAGCACUUCAGAAAAAAAAAAAAAAAAAAAACCACAGACAGGCAGCUUAUUUCUUUAGAAGUCAUUUCUUUUAUAAGGUAUAAUAUCUAGGUAGCUGUAGUGAACCUCAUGAACAAAAACUUUAAGUUACUC